AAUGCCCCUUGAGGCGUUGCAGCCCAACCAUUUGUGUUGCAGCUGUGUCAUAAGGUGGCAAAGAGAGACUGAUGGUGGUCUGCACUGAGACUCUAUAACACUCGGAGGACUCGGAGUGAUUUGUCACCAUCAACAGU